UACAGAGGGAGCAAGCGUUGUUCGGAAUUACUGGGCGUAAAGGGCGCGUAGGCGGUUCGAUAAGUCCCGUGUGAAAUCCCUCGGCUCAACUGAGGAAUGGCACGGGAAACUGACGGGCUUGAGUUCGGGAGAGGGAAGCGGAAUUCCGGGUGUAGCGGUGAAAUGCGUAGAUAUCCGGAGGAACACCGGUGGCGAAGGCGGCUUCCUGGACCGACACUGACGCUGAGGCGCGAAAGCGUGGGGAGCAAACGGG
rnacentral:rRNA from 1 species